GAUGAACGCUGGCGGCGUGCCUAAUACAUGCAAGUCGAGCGAAUGGAUUAAGAGCUUGCUCUUAUGAAGUUAGCGGCGGACGGGUGAGUAACACGUGGGUAACCUGCCCAUAAGACUGGGAUAACUCCGGGAAACCGGGGCUAAUACCGGAUAACAUUUUGAACCGCAUGGUUCGAAAUUGAAAGGCGGCUUCGGCUGUCACUUAUGGAUGGACCCGCGUCGCAUUAGCUAGUUGGCGAGGUUACGGCUCACCAAGGCAACGAUGCGUAGCCGACCUGAGAGGGUGAUCGGCCACACUGGGACUGAGACACGGCCCAGACUCCUACGGGAGGCAGCAGUAGGGAAUCUUCCGCAAUGGACGAAAGUCUGACGGAGCAACGCCGCGUGAGUGAUGAAGGCUUUCGGGUCGUAAAACUCUGUUGUUAGGGAAGAACAAGUGCUAGUUGAAUAAGCUGGCACCUUGACGGUACCUAACCAGAAAGCCACGGCUAACUACGUGCCAGCAGCCGCAGUAA
rnacentral:rRNA from 1 species